UGGGUGUGAGGGGCGGGGACCUGAGUGAGUAGAACUCCGGAGAAACCCUGGGGGAGUAAGCGGUUUUUGGCGGCUGCGGCCCCCGGGCCCUGCCCCGAGUGCAGAAAUGGGGAACCGCGCCGGCCCCUCUGCCCAGCGCAAUGGGCGGAACUGAAGUCCCGAGGGGAAGCUUUGUAUUGGGGGUGCAAUUGAAGGCGGUUGAUGGUGAAGCCAUUCUGAGUUUAUGUGUUGACUCCGGUUUAAGUGACACUUCUCCAGAUGAAGGGUUAAUAGAGGACUUGACUAUAGAAGACAAAGCAGUGGAGCAACUGGCAGAAGGAUUGCUUUCUCAUUAUUUGCCAGAUCUGCAGAGAUCAAAACAAGCCCUCCAGGAACUCACCACAGCUGCAGUUGACUGUACGUGCCUAAAACUGAAGAAAGCAAAACUGCAGAUAAAGGAGGACUGACAUAUUUUCUGGAAGAGACUGUGGGGAAUUGGUAUCACGUCUUCCUUAAAUGUUUGGUAAAAAUUACCAGUGAAGCCGUUUGGUCCCGGUACUGUCUUUUUUGGAAGACAGAACCAAGUUGUAUUGUUAGACACACUGGAACAAGAGAUUUCAAAAUUUAAAGAAUGUCAUUCUAUGUUGGAUAUUAAUGCUUUGUUUGCUGAGGCUAAACACUAUCAUGCCAAGUUGGUGAAUAUAAGAAAAGAGAUGCUGAUGCUUCAUGAAAAAACAUCAAAGUUAAAAAAAAGAGCACUUAAACUGCAGCAGAAGAGGCAAAAAGAAGAGUUGGAAAGGGAGCAGCAACGAGAGAAGGAGUUUGAAAGAGAAAAGCAGUUAACUGCCAGACCAGCCAAAAGGAUGUGAAAAGUUGUGUUUGUGUGUUUUCUUCUCCUGUCCCAUAUUUGGGUUAUGAUGACUCAAGUGUAGACUGAAGUUGAGGUAGUGCCUUAUGCCAUUAUGUCAUAUGUUGAAAUCCUUAUUCCGGUAUUACUGUGUCUCCAUGCCUUUUUUCCAAGUAGCAGACGUCAUGUUGCAUGGUUUUUGAUAUUUAUAUGUAAGUUUUUCAAAUUUUGCUUAAUUUUAAAAUUUAUUAUUUUGAUCUUGAAUUAUUUAUAAACUGGAAAGUGGUUUGAUUAUUGUGAGUCAAAACUCUAAGUGGUUAAAAAUUAGUAUGAAUUUUUUAGCUUCUUAAUGAAUAUGGAUUUAAAACUCUCCAGUUCUUAUUUUAUGAAAUGACUUGCCUUUCUGGUAAUACAAUGCUGAUUUUUUAGUAAUUGCCUUUUCAUUACUUUGUUAAGAAGAAAUGCCAGCUGUUUAAUCACACCUACCCCUGGAAAAGAGGUAAACCUUUUGAACAGUUGAAUUUCAUCAGAAGCUCUAUAGCUUUUUGGUGAGAGGAAGUGAUACUCUUUAUUACAAGAAACAAGGAAUUAACAAAAAUAAGGAACUUGUUGCUACCUUUCUUUUCUGUUGAACAUUAAAAAUAAUUUGGUUUGUGGACUGGGCAUGGUGGCUUAUGGAAAAGAGGUGAGCCUUUGUGAAGAACAUAAUGGAAAAGUGCAUGUACGGGAAAUAACAGCACUUUAGGUGUAGUUCAGGUGAGCAAGAUGCCAGAUAGUUUCUACUAACCAUAUACUCUUUCUGCUUCUUAGCGUCGUUGUCACUGCUUCUGUGGCUUUUGGGUUCAAAGUAGAUUAUAUAUAUUCCUAAAGCUUGGUGGAGGUAGUGGAGCUAUCACACACUCAAAUGAGCUUGUAUAUUUAUAAUACAAUAUAGUAUUAUAGUAACAGUUAUCAUACACUGAGAUAUAGUUUCUGUGCUUGUAAAAAAUUCUUGAAGUGAGGCCGGGUGCGGUGGCUCAUGCCUGUAAUCCCAACGCUUUGGGACGCCGAGGCGGGUGGAUCAUGAGGUCAAAAGAUUGAGACCAUCCUGGCCAACAUGGUGAAACCCCGUCUCUACUAGAAAUACAAAAAUUAGCUGGGUGUGGGGGCGUGCGCCUGUAGUCCCAGCUACUUGGGAGGCUGAGGCAGGAGAAUUGCUUGAACCCAGGAGGCAGAGGUUGCAGUAAGCCAAGAUCGUGCCACUGCACUCCAGCCUUGGUGACAGAGCAAGACUCCGUCUCCAAAAAAAAGAAAAAAAAAUUUCUUGAAGUGGAAUGAUGUACACCAAAUACCCACUUUAUAGAUAAUUACAGGGAUGGUGAAAAAUUAGUAAAUAGCUUCACAAAAGAGGCAGCGUGAUACCUUUAGUGUUUUCUAGAAUUUUUUUCUGGAUAUUAUAUGUAAGAAUUUAUUGUUUGAGGGAAAUACGAGGUUUCAUUGUUUAAAAUCAAGAGUGUAUUGUUUACUGUUUUACAGUAUUAUUUAAUAUCCAACUGGUCUCCAAUCUCCAUUACAUAGGGACUGUACAGAGCCUGUGAAGAUGUAUGAAUGGUAUCUUUUAUAAUCCACAAUACAUUUCUGGUAAGAUGGAAUCACUACCUCUGAUCACAUAUCAGGCUAACGAUAGAGAAAGCAUUAGGUUUAAGUUGAGGGCUAAGAACUGGUUUGUUUAAAGGUUUAAAUUGUUGGAAAAGAGCAUUUGCCUUCUUUAAUGAAUGAUGGUCUCACAAUUCAGUUGACUUUGACCUAAUAUUUAAGAAUAUAAAUAUAUUUUAUUUGAAAGGCUGAGUGUUGCCCUCAAACACUUGCUAAAACUGCCUAGGGCAGGAUUCAUUAGGGCUUGCAGACAAUGUCACCUAAAUUGCUGAAUGUACUCAUUAUAAUAUGAUAUCUGACAAAGGUAGUACAGCGUUUCUGAGUCAUUUGGGACCAACUGCAGUGGUUGUUUAAAAUGCUGGUUCCUGCACACAAUUCUCUAUCUACUGAAGCACAUCUGUUUUCUUUGUUUGUUUUGCUUUGCUUUUUGUUUUUAAAGUUUCCCCCAGUGAUUCCAGUGCACCUGAAAAGUUGAGAACCACAGGCUUAGUGGUACGUUGGGGUUUCCCACGCUAGGCUGCAUAGCAUUAUAACCUGGGAACGUUAAAAAAAAUACAGACAUUCUUGAUUCUUAGUGUAGUUAUGAUGUGGAUCCUACGUAUUUUUUAAAAAACUCUCCAGAUAAUUUUGAUGUCACGAGUCACUAGUAUAGACUAUCUAUCUAGUGAGUUGUAUUAUAAGCGAUGAAAUACUUUAAAAGCUACCCAGUAACUCUUGGGAUUAAUUUUAUGAAAUAAAUUCUGAGCUGCUGCUUUUGAUAUAGUCAGACUUAAGACUGAACCCCAGUAGACAGGCAAUAGAUAUAGAAUUCUGGUUAGCUAAUUGAACUUUUGUGACCUGUUUAAAAACAAAUCAAAUUUAUUGAACAAAUGACAAGGCACAAAUACUUUCAGAAUUGUAUUUCAGUUUUGAAGAUUUAAAAAAAAUGUGAAAAUAAAUAUAUAUUAGUAUCCUUUAUUUUAAAGUCAAUUGUAAACCAGAAGUACUGUUAUUUUGGUGAUUAAAAUCCAAAACUUUAGCUGUAUUUCAGUAACAAAAACAUACCUUACUAGACUGUGAUGGCUCACACCUGUAAUCCCAGUGCUUUGGGAGGCUGAGGUGGGAAGAUUCUUUGAGCCCAGGAGUUCAAGGCUGCAGUGAAUUCUGAUCGCACCACUGAACUCCAGCCCGUAUGACAGAGUGAGACCCUGUUUCUAAAAACAAAACAAACAAACAAACAAACAACGUAUCUUACUGACUAAACUGGAAUGGAAAUCUUAUAAUUAGUGUUGUAUUUUUCUGCAAAAUAGUGAAUUGGUACUUGGGAGACUUCUGUUCUUUGUUGAAAAAAAUUGCCUUUGUUUUGAAAUUAUAUCACCUGUGUUCUGAACUAAAAUGAUGGGAGUUCAUUUUGUAUUUACUUUGCAGUAAGUAUCAUGUAAAUAUGCAAAUGUUGAAUGUAAUAUAGAUUGUGUCCUCAUUGAGUUUUUGGGUGAUACAGUUUAUAAAUAUAACAAUUAUACACCCUCAUACAUUCGUCUGAUUUUGAGCUUGUAAGAUGAGAACUGCUUUUUACACAUUUAAUAAAAAAAGGUCUCUGAAUUAUCUGA